rnacentral:rRNA from 1 species
UGGGGAAUAUUGCACAAUGGGCGGAAGCCUGUUGCAGCGACGCCGCGUGGGGGAUGAAGGCCUUCUGGUUGUAAACUCCUUUCGACAGGGACGAAGCUUUUGUGACGGUACCUGUAUAAGAAGCACCGGCUAACUACGUGCCAGCAGCCGCGGUAAUACGUAGGGUGCGAGCGUUGUCCGGAAUUACUGGGCGUAAAGAGCUCGUAGGUGGUUUGUCGCGUCGUCUGUGAAAUUCCGGGGCUUAACUCCGGGCGUGCAGGCGAUACGGGCUGACUUGAGUGCUGUAGGGGAGACUGGAAUUCCUGGUGUAGCGGUGAAAUGCGCAGAUAUCAGGAGGAACACCGAUGGCGAAGGCAGGUCUCUGGGCAGUAACUGACGCUGAGGAGCGAAAGCAUGGGUAGCGAACAGG